rnacentral:misc_RNA from 1 species
GCUGGUUAUACGCAAUACCCUCAACAGGCUGAAGGUGCUCAGGACUUGGCUUCCAUGACUGGUGCUCCUCCAAUUAUUGAACAAAGAGAAGAGCAGCAUGAUCCUUUGGCUGUGCCAGACGUUGACCGGCUAAAUAAUGCUUACCUUUCUGUCCAUGCAAGCACAAUCUUGGGCCGGCCAUUGUGGCAGAGGACAUCAUCGUUUUCGCAAGUAUAGAGUUCACCGUUACAGAGAUACUGUACCUGUUUGAAUUAAGUUCUUGUGGUGUAUGUUUAUUGGAAACAAAGACUUGGCCAGCCUUCAAAAUGCAUGCUGCAUUUCAGUCUAACAUGCUUAUGCUACUUUCUGAAUUGUUCCUUCAAAAUUUCCCUUUUUUAUUUCUUCUUAUUUCCAGUGUAAUUA